CCUACGGGAGGCAGCAGUGGGGAAUAUUGGGCAAUGGGCGAAAGCCUGACCCAGCAACGCCGCGUGAAGGAAGAAGGCUUUCGGGUUGUAAACUUCUUUUGACAGGGAAGAGCAGAAGACGGUACCUGUCGAAUACGCCACGGCUAACUACGUUCCAGCAGCCUCGGUAAUACGCAGGUGGCAAGCGUUGUCCGGAUUUACUGGGUGUAAAGGGCGUGUAGCCGGGCUUACAAGUCAGAUGUGAAAUCCGGGGGCUCAAACCCCGAACUGCAUUUGAAACUGUUGGUCUUGAGUAGCUGAGAGGCAGGCGGAAUUCCUAGUGUAGCGGUGAAAUGCGUAGAUAUUAGGAGGAACACCAGUGGCGAAGGCAGCCUGCUGGACGACAACUGACGGUGAGGCGCGAAAGCGUGGGGAGCAAACAGGAUUAGAUACCCCUGUAGUC
rnacentral:rRNA from 1 species